UACGGGGGUGGCGAGCGUUACUCGGAUUCAUUGGGUGUAAAGGGCAGGUAGGUGGCUAUGUAAGUUAGAGGUGAAAUCCUUGGGCUCAACCCAAGAACUGCCUCUAAGACUGCAUGGCUUGAGGCUGAGAGAAGAGAGCGGAAUUCCUGGUGUAAGGGUGAAAUCUGUAGAGAUCAGGAGGAACGCCUGUGGCGAAAGCGGCUCUCUAGUUCAGACCUGACGCUAAGCUGCGAAAGCUAGGGGAG
rnacentral:rRNA from 1 species